rnacentral:rRNA from 1 species
AUUGAACGCUGGCGGCAGGCCUAACACAUGCAAGUCGAACGAGGGGCGGACGGGUGAGUAAUGUCUGGGAAACUGCCCGAGGGAGGGGGAUACAUACUGGAAGAGGUAGCUAAUAACGCAUACCAUGGGCUGGGCCCAUAUGGGAUACGCUAGUCGGUGGGGUAACGGCUCACCUAGGCGACGAACCCUAGCUGGUGUGAGCGGCUGACCGGCCACACUGGAACUGCGCCACGGUCCAGCCGCCUACGGGAGGCAGCAGUGGGGAAUAUUGCACAAUGGGCGCAAGCCUGAUGCAGCCAUGCCGCGUGUAUGAAGAAGGCCUUCGGGUUGUAAAGUACGUUCAGCGAGUAGGCGUUACUCGCAGAAGAAGCACCGGCUGACUCCGUGCCAGCAGCCGCGGUAAUUC